rnacentral:lncRNA from 1 species
CCAACUCCUCCCCGCCUCCUCCCCCUGCUGCUUCUCCUCACUAUAGUUCCCCGCCCAGGGCGGGGGCGGGCGGGGGCGAGCGGGGGCAAGCGCGUCCGGUUUGCUGGCACCGUGCAGAAAUGGCAACUUGCGCGGUGGAGGUGUUCGGGCUCCAGGAGGAUGAGGAAAAUUCACAAAUUGUGAGAGUGAAAGUUAUAGCUGGAAUAGGCCUUGCCAAGAAGGAUAUCUUGGGAUCCAGGUACGGAUAACAAGUUGGGUUGUAAUUUUAAAACUUACUAUUUGUUAAUUUCUUCUAAACUUUGAUUAA